UGAAUAAUCAGCUACUGCUAUGAGGCAGCGGUGCAAGAACAAGAUGAACACCUCAACAUGUGCAUUGCUGGAAUUCUGCACGCCAUCCAAAUUGAUUUACUAAAUAUUGGAUGUUCAGCACUCUCCUGAGGUGAAAAUAGAUUGAAAGAGAUGUCAUCAUCAGAGGAUGAGCAAGUUGAACACGACACUGUAGAACAUGAAUUGUUUUCCAUGCCAUCUGAUGCCAUGGAGCAUGGAACAAAUAGCAGCAGCAGCACAUAGCAACAGAUCAAUCUAAAGAUCAAUCUACAAGCUACUGUACCUUCUUCAGAGUGCAAAUAGCAGCAGCAGCAACACGUCACAGUCACUUGGACCAGCAGCAGCAGGAACACGGCAUGUUCACUUGGAUCAGCAGCAGCACAUGCAGAGGAGCAGCAGCAUCAACACGGGCAGAGG